UACAGAGGGUGCGAGCGUUAAUCGGAAUUACUGGGCGUAAAGCGUGCGUAGACGGCUAUCUAAGUCGGGUGUGAAAGCCCCGGGCUCAACCUGGGAAUUGCAUUCGAGACUGCAUUGCUGGAGUACGGAAGAGGAAGGCGGAAUUCCCGGUGUAGCGGUGAAAUGCGUAGAUAUCGGGAGGAACAUCAGUGGCGAAGGCGGCCUUCUGGUCCAGUACUGACACUCAAGUGCGAAAGCGUGGGGAGCAAACAGG
rnacentral:rRNA from 2 species